GCACUACUUGGUGUGGUUGGCAGUUCAUUGUUGUUUUCCAAAGGCAAACAUCAGUAUCUCGUCACCAACCACCAAGGAAUUCUUCUUUGAGGUAAAAAUGUUUAUCUUCAAUGAAAGUUCUACAGCUGUUUCAGUUUCCCAGGAUUCCUCAACAUUUCUCCCCUAGAUUUUCAGUUGCAAGCACUUCUGUCUGCCUUGGCAUCCACUUUAAGGUUUAAUAGUUCCCACCUUUUCCCAUGUGGCUCCCUCAGUAAAACACAUUUUGUGUUUUAGCAAAAAGAAGAGAUGGCUUGGGAGUUAUGGCUGUUUGGGAAUUGUCGCUUUCCACCACACCACUAUUUGAUAACACUGCACUGGGCACUGUCACAUCUCUGGUUCACCUCUCCAUUUGUUAGCUUGGCUUUCCAUUCCAUUUAAAAUAAAGGUAUUUUGGUAGUAAAAGAAGAAAAUGAGGAUCUUGCUUCUGUAAGUUUUUUUGUUCAGCAUCACCCAGUUGCAAUCCUGCUAAGAUAUCCAAAAUGACAACUUUUCCUAGCAUUAAUCUUUCAAAGGGGUGUUCAGCAUCUAUCAAAAUUCCUUCCAUAAACAGGAUUAACUUUUUUUUUUGUUUUUAAUUUUUUUUUUUUUUUUACCAUUUCAGGUAAUGAUGCUUGACUUGCUCUGCAGCGUGCAGAGGAGUCUGGUGAAUGUUAGGGCUGUUUGGCAGAGAGGAAGUGACUGCACCGCUGACACUGUCCAGGGCUUCAUCAGCUUUGGAAGAGCCCCAUGGGACUAUUUCACUCAGAAUUUCACACAAUGAGAAGGAAAGAAGAUAGAGACAUCAGAAUUAAGGAUUGAAUGUUUAAGGGAUUCUGUUCAGCAACUGGGCUUAUUUUAAGCCUUAGUGCUGACAUUGUCAGAGCUAAAAAAAAAAAAAAAAAGUAUUAAAAAAAUCAGCUGCUGAAAGUUCUUUAAGGCUCAGAAUUGGGAUAAAUGACAUUUCUGCUAUGUUGCAAACUGUGUCAGAAAAGGAGGACGUUGCCUUGCUUUGAGUGUAUUCUAAACUAAAAGCCAUAAAGAAACUAUUGUGCUUGGG
rnacentral:lncRNA from 1 species